rnacentral:rRNA from 1 species
CGGCCGCGUCGACGAACGAACGCUGGCGGCAGGCCUAACACAUGCAAGUCGAGCGAGGACUUCGGGUUCUAGCGGCGGACGGGUGAGUAACGCGUGGGAAUGUGCCCUUCUCUACGGAAUAGCCCUGGGAAACUGGGAGUAAUACCGUAUACGCCCUUUUGGGGAAAGAUUUAUCGGAGAAGGAUCAGCCCGCGUUGGAUUAGGUAGUUGGUGGGGUAAUGGCCUACCAAGCCGACGAUCCAUAGCUGGUUUGAGAGGAUGAUCAGCCACACUGGGACUGAGACACGGCCCAGACUCCUACGGGAGGCAGCAGUGGGGAAUCUUAGACAAUGGGGGCAACCCUGAUACUAGCCAUGCCGCGUGAGUGAUGAAGGCCUUAGGGUUGUAAAGCUCUUUCAGCUGGGAAGAUAAUGACGGUACCAGCAGAAGAAGCCCCGGCUAACUCCGUGCCAGGUCGACGCGGCCG